rnacentral:rRNA from 1 species
GGCAGUGACCUGUCAGGGGUCGUGUUGAGAGGCAGCCUUGGCUAUCAGCUAUUGUUAGGCCUGGAAUCCUUAAGGAAAAUGUGAGUUGGGUGCAACCGUGAAGUCUCCAGUUCUCGGUCGCCAUCGUGGUUGUGCAACUUAUUUGAAUUUUCAUUCAUUUCUGUAGCACAGUGGUAUGAGUGACAACAAGCUCUGCACUGAAACUCGUACUUGCUCCCAGCAAUUCUGGUUCAGCUUAAGGCUUUAAGGUUUUUCUCCUUUCAGGCAUGGCUAAUUUCAUCCAACCGAUUUUAUGAUACUUUUGUGAUGCAGAAAUCUGCAAGGGGACGCCUUUUACCAGCGGGAUUCCUUACUCGAUACCUCAUAUUUCUGAUCUGGAGACGCUGGAUCUCUUUAUCAACCAAUUCUUAGGUAACUUGCCCUAGAGUUUCCAAUACAUCACAGGCAUCAAGACACUGCGAGGCGACUGAAUUUUAGGGAACUAUAUAUACUAGCUUUUCCUCGAUAUUCUCCUUCGGAUCAACAAAUGACCCGACCUGUCCUUCAAGGAGCACUUGUGAGCGGCUACCACGAGGUGACCAGUACACGAGCAGCUGCAUACCACAAGAGGAGCACACAGAUGAUGUAAUAUUCAGAUAAAUACAUGUUGUCUGAUCCAAAUAAGAUGACUGAUGCGAACGAAGAUGGCUCUCAAAACACCAGGAAUAAUAUGUUGCCACUUGCCACCACUUCAGAGGAAAACAGGAGGUUCUGGUUCUAUUGCUGCUCUUAAGGAACCUGUUGGUCCACUGUCUACGGGUGCUCGUGGUUCUGGUUGGUUCGUCCAGCUAUGUCUUCGGCACCGCUCUACAGGUCGACCCUUUCUCUCCUUCUAUUCUCAGCUCUCGAGGCACGUGCUUGUGUUCUUGCAGCCAUAUAUCUUCCGUGUGCACUUAUUGGUAGAAGCCUGGCAUCUAAAAGUAUCAUUGUUUGCUUGUAAAACUGCAGUAGGCAUCAUUCUUGUUUUUUGCAGAACUGAAUUUACUAGCACCAUUUUGCAUCUUGACAUUACUGUACAAAUUCCCACCUGCUCCCCUGUUUCUUGGUCAAAACUGAAUGUUGACAGAGUUUUGGUCAAAACAUUAGAUGAUGUGAGCUUUUUCAGCUAUCCAAAGUUUUAAGAGUACAAUAUUCAUUUCAAAGUUCAUGUAUAAAAUUCAGUUUAACUCUGAGAGGGAAUAAACUACUGUAGUUUACUGCAGUUUAUUGCAUAAUUAUGCACUAUUCGGAGCAAAAAUUCAGUUUACUGCAGUUUAUUGAAUCAAGAUACAGUAGCAAUCAAGCAGAACAUGUACUGUAUUCAUUUCAGAAGUCAGUGUACUGCAGAGUGUUUCAACCAGAACAUGAAUCAAGAUGCAAGAAGCUUCAAGUUGAUAGCAGUCGAUGCAAAAUUGUUCACUUAAACUUCAAUGUUCAGUGGUUAGAACACAAGACCAUAUUUCUUAGGUUCUACUGUACACAAGUUGAUUUAGUCCACAGUAUGUUGAUUUGCAUCAGAUGUUCUAGACUGCAAGCAUCAGAGUUGAAGAGGCUAUUAGCAGAACUAAAUUUCGCAUAUUCUUAUUUUUCUUUAAGUAUUUUGUUUUGUUAUCAAUGGUCUAAGACUUGGUCAUUGACUAAAACUGUCAUGUCUUUUUUUUGCUUGUUCUAAUCUGCGAAGUAGUGACUGGUGAGCUUGAAUUUAGUCACAAGUUUGCUUACUGAAUGCAAUCUGUAUGUGUGGAGUACUGAUACAGUGUGGAGUGAUGCUGUUGAUUGGGACAACUAACGCCAGUAUUCCUGUGAUUUAGAACAUGGAGCAAAUUGGGACAACUAAUGGCAGUAUUCGGUCAACUCAAAUAUGAUUUUCUCUCUAUAGUUUGAGCCACAUCCAUGACCUGAAAAACAGUAAACUGAAACUGUCUGUAACAGUUGACUGUUUCUGGGAUUACUGUGGUCCUUUAAAUUCAGGUCAUGUACUGCUAGGAGUUGUCUGAAUUUUUUUUGUUAGAACCUGGGAGUCGUAUAUGAUAUGUAGAACAUCUAAAGUUCUGUUAAAACAUUCUGUAAUUCAAGGUUUGGUCUUCGGCCCUCUGUUGCAGCAUGUGCCGCUCAACAUGAUCUGUAGAACACUGAAUGGAUGCACAAGAAAAGGAAAAAGGCAGCAAGGAGGGAGAGGAUAUUUUAGUAAGGAGUGAAAUUGUGAGUGUUUUCUACGCAACCAGAGAAAGCUUGCUCGUAAUUCAGUCAAGAAGGGGACGGUGAAGAGGAGGCCGUGAAUGUGUUGAUUCAGGAUCCAACUGGAUGAUCCGCUGGGCGGGGGCGCUGGUACCUUCAACAGCAGCACAUCGGGGGACAAAGAAGAAGAUUGGGGCUGCCUGGACGAAGAUCGGGAGCUGCACCACCACUAGCAGAAGCAGCAGAGGCGGAGGAAGAUGGCAACAGCAGAAGAGGCCGGAGUGGCGAAAGGGAGCGUGCCGGCGGCCGAAGCGGACGGCCCAGGCCUUGCGAGCGGCGCAGGUAGGCGGCAGUGGUCACCUCUGUGGCAGCUGCGCAGGUGGGCGGCGGUGCUGGGUAUGCGAGCAGGAUGACGAGGAGAUGCCGCCCAUCAGUCGUGGAGCCGCCGCCUGUUGAGUUGUCGCCGGAGAGGAGCAGGCGGGCGGCUGCGAAGCUCGCCUCCUUGUGCGCAGGUAAGCAGGGUAGGCGGGCGGCGGCGCAAGUGGGACUUCGUCGCCGCCUGAUCCCUACGACGGCUGGGGCACACGGUGCCCGCCGGUGACGGGGGGAGACGGAGGCUGGGGCGCGCGGUGCCCGUGGGCGUCGGGGGAGGAAGAAGGGCAGAUUAGCAUGGGAUUUUAAAUGAUAAGGUCUUUUUGGCAAAAUUACAAUUGAACUGCG